AUUGAACGCUGGCGGAAUGCUUUACACAUGCAAGUCGAGCGGCAGCGCGGGGCAACCCUCGGCGGCGAGCGGCGAACGGGUGAGUAAUACAUCGGAACGUGUCCUUAAGUGGGGGAGUAGCUCGGCGAAAGCCGGAUUAAUACCGCAUAAGCUCUGAGGAGGAAAGCGGGGGAUUCGCAAGGACCUCGCGCUGUUGGAGCGGCCGAUGUCGGAUUAGCUAGUUGGUGGGGAAAGGCCCACCAAGGCGACGAUCCGUAGCUGGCCUGAGAGGAUGAUCAGCCACACUGGAACUGAGACACGGUCCAGACU
rnacentral:rRNA from 1 species